rnacentral:misc_RNA from 1 species
UCCGGUUUGUCACCGGCAGUCCCAUUAGAGUGCCCAACUAAAUGUAGCAACUAAUGACAAGGGUUGCGCUCGUUCAGGGACUUAACCCGACAUCUCACGACACGAGCUGACGACAACCAUGCACCACCUGUGCACGGCCCUUACGGACCCCCCAUCUCUGGAGGAUUUCCGUGCAUGUCAAGCCUAGGUAAGGUUCUUCGCGUUGCAUCGAAUUAAGCAACAUGCUCCGCCGCUUGUGCGGGCCCCCGUCAAUUCCUUUGAGUUUUAGCCUUGCGGCCGUACUCCCCAGGCGGGGCACUUAAUGCGUUAGCUACGGCACGGAGUCCGUUGAUGAGACCCCACACCUAGUGCCCAACGUUUACGGCGUGGACUAC